rnacentral:misc_RNA from 1 species
GAUGAAGAACGUAGCGAAAUGCGAUAAGUAAUGUGAAUUGCAGAAUUCAGUGAAUCAUCGAAUCUUUGAACACACCUUGCGCUCCUUGGUAUUCCUUGGAGCAUGCCUGUUUGAGUAUCAUGAGCAAAUCUCAAAGUCGAUCCUUUUGUUAAUUCAAUUGGUUUUGCUUUGGACUUGGAGGUCUUGCAGAUUUCACCAUCUGCUCCUCUUAAAUGUAUUAGCUGGAUCUCAGUAUUUAUGCUUGGUUCCACUCGGCGUGAUAAGUAUCACUCGCUGAGGACACUGGUAAAAAGGUGGCCAGGAAAAUACUGAUUGAACCGCUUCUAACGGUCUAUUAACUUAGACAAUUACCCUUAAGUUUGAUCUCAAAUCAGGUAGGACUACCCGCUGAACUUAAGCAUAUCAAUAAGCGGAGGA